CGGGGUGUAGCGCAGUCUGGUAGCGCACCAGUUUCGGGAACUGGGGGCCGCUGGUUCAAAUCCAGUCGCCCCGACCA
rnacentral:tRNA from 1 species